UAGGGAAUCUUCGGCAAUGGGGGCAACCCUGACCGAGCAACGCCGCGUGAGUGAAGAAGGUUUUCGGAUCGUAAAGCUCUGUUGUAAGAGAAGAACGAGUGUGAGAGUGGAAAGUUCACGCUGUGACGGUAUCUUACCAGAAAGGGACGGCUAACUACGUGCCAGCAGCCGCGGUAAUACGUAGGUCCCGAGCGUUAUCCGGAUUUAUUGGGCGUAAAGCGAGCGCAGGCGGUUAGAUAAGUCUGAAGUUAAAGGCUGUGGCUUAACCAUAGUACGCUUUGGAAACUGUUUAACUUGAGUGCAGAAGGGGAGAGUGGAAUUCCAUGUGUAGCGGUGAAAUGCGUAGAUAUAUGGAGGAACACCGGCGGCGAAAGCGGCUCUCUGGUCUGUAACUGACGCUGAGGCUCGAAAGCGUGGGGAGCAAACAGGAUUAGAUACCCUGGUAGUCCACGCCGUAAACGAUGAGUGCUAGGUGUUGGGUCCUUUCCGGGACUCAGUGCCGCAGCUAACGCAUUAAGCACUCCGCCUGGGGAGUACGACCGCAAGGUUG
rnacentral:rRNA from 1 species